ensembl:lncRNA
UUCCUUUCCCAGAGCAGUGCCAGGACAGAAUGUGACCCUGGCCCCCUGCACCAGCUCUCUGGGGAGAGAACUUCCUUCAUUCCCAUUCCCAAUACACUGCUCUCAAUACUUCCUUUGGAUAGCAUUGUAUUUAAAGAUGCUACAUACAAAACCAAAUUUACCCCUUUCUCAUUUUGAAAUUUUGCAAGUAUUAAGAUAAGUGGGCUGGGAGCAGUGGCUCACGCCUGUAAUCCCAGCAAUUUGGGAGAGCAAGGUGGAUGGAUCACGAGGUCAAGAUAUCGAGACCAUCCUGGUGAAACCCCAUCUCUACUAAAAAUACAAAAGUUAGCUGGGCAUGGUGGUGCACGCCUGUUGUCCCAGCUACUUGGGAGGCUGAGGCAGGAGAAUUGCUUGAACCCAGGAGGCAGAGGUUGCAGUGGACCGAGAUCAGGCCACUGCACUCCAGCCUGGUGACAGAGCAAGACUCCGUCUUAAAAAAAGAAAAAAAAAAAAAGAUAAGUGACAGAAAAGUUUUAAAAUAUGAGAAAAGACAGAGGAAAGAACACUUUGAACAAGGAAACCAAAAGGUAGGUCAAAACUAUCAAGGGAAAUCUCUGUGUAUGUGUUUAUAUUUUUAUAUAUUUAUAGUCUUCUAAAUGUAAUGAGACUGAGUAGCUUAAAAGAACCUUUUUAAUAAUGAGAAUAUUUUAUAUAACCAAAUGUGGAAUAUGUUAGUAAUAAAAGGUAUCUUUUAUGUUAAGAUCAUAUUGCAAACUAUACAUUAUAAUAUGAUACGUAAAUCAAUCCAAAAGAAAACUAUAAAGGAUAAAUACAAAUUACAGAUCGUUUUUAAACAUUAAACUUUAACAAUUUUGAGAUAAUUGUUAAUUCACGUGCAGUUGUAAGAAAUAAUAGAAAAAUAUCAUGAGUAUUCUUUCCCCAGUUUCCCCAAUGGUAACAUCUUGCAGAACUAUAGUACAAUAGCACAACCAGGAUACAGAACAUUCCCAUCGCCAUAUUCUUCGUGUUGCCUUUUUGUAGCCACAUCCACUUCCCUCCCAUCUUCACUUCUGGCAGCCACUAAUCGAUUCUCUAUUUCUAUCAUCUGGUCAUUUUAAGAAACGUAUAAAUUAAAUCGUAUUGUAUGGAACUUUUUGGAUUGACUUUUUUCAGUCAGCAUAAUGCCCUUGAUUCUAUUGGCAUUGUUGCAUGUAUCAGUAGUUCAGUUCUUUAAAUUGCUGAGUGGUAUUCCAUUGGGUGGCUAUAUGACACAAUGGAAUACUACUUUAUUUGUUACAAAUAAAGCUGCUAUGAACAUUUAGAAACAGGUUUUUUGGUUUUUUUGCCAGGGGCUAGGGUAGAGGGUGGGGUACCAAGCAUAAGACUUCAUUUCUCACCGGGCGUGGUGGCUCACGCCUGUAAUCCCAGCACUUUGGGAGGCUGAGGUGGGCAGAUCAUGAGGUCAGGAGAUCGAGACCAUCCUGGCUACCACGACGAAGCCCUGUCUCUACUAAAAAUGCAAACAUUAGCCAGGCGUGGUAGAGGGUACCUGUAGUCCCAGCUACUUGGGAGGCUGAGGCAGGAGCAUGGCGUGAAGCCGGGAGGCGGAGGUUGCAGUGAGCCGAGAUCGCGCCACUGCACUCCAGCCUGGGUGAUAGCGAGAGGUUCUGUCUCAAAAAAAAAAAAAAAAAAAAAAAAAAGACUUCAUUUCCCUGGAAUAAAUGCCCAGCAAUACAACUACUGGGUUGCAUGAUAACUGCAUGAUUAGUUUGUUUGUUUUCAACUAAUUUAUUUUAGACAAGAAACUUGAUUUUAACAAUAAAUAUUAAAUAUCAUACAUUAGUUAAAUAUCUGACUGGGCAUGGUGGCUCAUGCCUGUAAUCCCAGCACUUUGGGAGGCCGAGGUGGGCGGAUCACCCGAGGUCAGGAGUUCAGGAACAGCCUGGCAAACAUGGUGAAACUCCGUCUCUACAAAAAAUACAAAAAUUAGCCUGGCAUGGUGGCGCACACCUAUAAUCCCAGCUACUCAGGAGGCUGAGGCUAGAGAAUCACUUGAACCUGGGAGAAGGAGGUUCCAGUGAGCCGGAGAUCACGCCACUACACUCCAGCCUGGGCGACAGAGCAAGACUCUGUCUCAAAAAAGAAAAAAAAAAAAAACCUAUUUACUUAUUUUUUAAUGAUCAAGAUUUAAAUAUGUCACAGAUACCCUCUCUAACCUAGCUGGAAAAGACGUGGGUGAUAAAUUCUUACAUAGCCAAUUAAUUUUCAUUAAGUGCAAUUAAUAAUUGAGAAAUAUCUCUACACAUUCAUAUCAGAAGGAAAUUAUCCACAGGGUAGUCCCAUGAUACUCACCUUUUCUUUGGUAUCACUGUCACAUGACCCUGUUUUAUGAAACAAACCCACAGGAGGGGGAGGCUCAGACACAACAUAUUUACAUGGAGAAGCUAAAAUGUUAUUUAAAGUAUUAACAAAGGAAACUAAAGUCCGCACAGCCAGUCUUUGUUAAGAGCAGCUUGCAACUCCUAAAUAUUUGCACUAGUUUCUUUUAGAAAACCUACAGCCGGACUUCUAAUCCCAGCUUACUUAUAGUUGAGUAUUACAAGGGACCAUCUAGGAAAACAUGAUGUCAUAACAAAUUUUGACUUGUAGUUCAGUGCAAUUUUAUCAUCAGUACUAAAACAAUUCAGAGUGUAUUUCAUGUUGACAAAAGGUCAACAAUAGCAUGCCAGACACAAAAAGCAGUAUAUCAUUUGUAAGUGUUUAUCAGUCAAGACAAAAAUUGAGUACCAAACCAGUCAAUUAACCUUAUUGUAAAUUAAAAAAAUGACAGCCAUGAAAUCAGUUGUUGCAUAAAUACAGGUAGGUUUCUUUUUUUUCUUUUAAGAUAAUUAAAACCAGUGUAGAUAAAUUUUUCGUUUGAGAAUAGUACUAAUACCUUUUCUUCUCCAUAUAUUUUCAGAACUUUUAGCUAUGCUUUUUCUUCUACUGUUUUCUGUUCUAUCAUCAUAUUUAUUGGUUGGCUUUUGUCUCUUUAUUUUACUUAUCUGAUAAAAAUGCGAAUGGCUUGGUUGUUCGUGUCUUGGUUGUUAGUGAGGUAGGUCCAGCCUGUAGUUCUGGAACAUGGUUUAGUGAGGGAGACAGGGAUGUGAAUUAGAAAGUAGGCAAUCAUAUGCAGUAAGAGAACUACGGCAUUGAAUUGUAUGCUUGCUACUGCAUCUUCUGAAAAAACAGUAUUAUUGUAGUAAAGCAACACUAUUAAU